GUAAUAUGAUGACAUCAUGCGUGUCAUUUGAGCAUCUUUUGGUGGAUUUGGUGUGCAAGUCCUUGCAAGCGUUCUGCUAGCCUGGACUCGGGCACUGAAACCUGCCAUGGUGUGAAUGAUUGUUGUGAAGUCUGAUUAC